UACGUAGGGGGCAAGCGUUGUCCGGAUUUACUUGGCGUAAAGCGCGUGUAGGCGGGAACGCAAGUCCGGUGUGAAAGCCCCCCGCUCAACGGGGGAAGGUCGCUGGAAACUGCGUUUCUUGAGGGCGGCAGAGGGAAGUGGAAUUGCUGGUGUAGCGGUGAAAUGCGUAGAGAUCAGCAGGAACACCCGUGGCGAAGGCGGCUUCCUGGGCCGCGCCUGACGCUGAGACGCGAAAGCGUGGGGAGCGAACGGG
rnacentral:rRNA from 1 species